CAUCUGAUGGCGUUUUCCUGUAGCUGUGCAGCAGGAAGAGAGUUUUUCAACCACACUGUCUCCCUGCUUCAUCAGACAGCGCAUUAUACACAGUAUGGCCUGCAGACUAUCCUCCAUCUCUGGCCUGCACAAGCAGUCUACAACAAUGGCAUAGAGCAAGAACUCAGUGAAUUCAUCCAGAACCUGUGAGUGAUGUGGUGGUGCGAAAGCCAACAGCAGCUGGUGAGAGUGGUCGUCAGUCCACACUGUACCAGGCAUAUACAGGACCGUUUCCCCGACCCUGACUUGAUGGCGGAUGGACCCAAGCUGCAUGAGGAACAACCCCAGCCCCUCAGUGCUCCUGUGUUGGAUGGCUUGUCUGAAAUGGAGCAGGUUCCAUGGCCCUGUCCCACGUGGAUGCCGCAUAUCAUACCUUUGUCCACAUGAAACAUCCAGUGAUCUUAUCCAGCACCACUUGGCUCCUGAAUUCCCAGUUCUUCCUCUUCCUUGGUCUCAGGAUUCCCUCUCUAACUUAUACUUCUGUUGUCUGUUAUAAAUAUUUGCUGCACUGCUGUAACAUGAUUAUUUUGAUAUUUUGUCACAUUGGUUAUUAUUUUACAGUUUAGCAUAGUGAUCCAACAUUGUACAUUCUUGUAAAUGCACACAUGGUGAUUAAUUACACAGCUCAUUUGAUAUUUCAUUCGUUAAAUAAAUUGUUCAGAAUAUAGCCUUGGCCUAUAUUGUACUGUGUAUGUGUUUAAAUCAAAUGAAUGCUUAUUGAUAAAAUAUCUUAAGCCUCAGUUGAAUUAAUUGUGCUU